ensembl:snRNA U6 U6 spliceosomal RNA
GUGCUUGCUUCAGCAGCACAUAUUCUAAAAUCAAAACAAUACAGAGAAGAUUAUUAUGGCUCCUGUGCUAGGAUGACAUGCAAAUUUGUGAAACAUUCCAUAGUUUU